rnacentral:rRNA from 1 species
AGUGAACGCUGGCGGUAGGCCUAACACAUGCAAGUCGAACGGCAGCACAGGAGAGCUUGCUCUCUGGGUGGCGAGUGGCGGACGGGUGAGGAAUACAUCGGAAUCUACUCUGUCGUGGGGGAUAACGUAGGGAAACUUACGCUAAUACCGCAUACGACCUACGGGUGAAAGCAGGGGACCUUCGGGCCUUGCGCGAUUGAAUGAGCCGAUGUCGGAUUAGCUAGUUGGCGGGGUAAAGGCCCACCAAGGCGACGAUCCGUAGCUGGUCUGAGAGGAUGAUCAGCCACACUGGAACAGAGACAGGUGCCAGACUCUUACGGGAGGCAGCAGUGGGGAAUAUUGGACAAUGGGCGCAAGCCUGAUCCAGCCAUACCGCGUGGGUGAAGAAGGCGUUCGGGUUGUAAAGCCCUUUUGUUGGGAAAGAAAUCCAGCUGGCUAAUACCCGGUUGGGAUGACGGUACCCAAAGAAUAAGCACCGGCUAACUUCGUGCCAGCCGCCGCCGUAA